rnacentral:lncRNA from 1 species
GCUUUGUUUACCGAAUCAAGCCUGGGCAAUGGCGGGCGCCCCUCCCCCAGCCUCGCUGCCGCCUUGCAGUUUGAUCUCAGACUGCUGUGCUAGCAAUCAGCGAGACUCCGUGGGCGUAGGACCCUCCGAGCCAGGUGCAGGACAUAAUCUCGUGAUGAGCCUUUUUUAAGCCUGUCGGAAAAGCGCAGUAUUCAGGUGGGAGUGACCCGAUUUUCCAGGUGCCGUCCGACACCCCUUUCUUUGACUAGGAAAGGGAACUCCCUUACCCCUUGGGCUUCCUGAGUGAGGCAAUGCCUCGCCCUGCUUCGGCUCGCGCACGGGGUGCGCACCCACUGACCUGCACCCGCUGUCUGGCACUCCCUGGUGAGAUGAACCCGGUACCUCAGAUGGAAAUGCUGAAAUCACCCGUCUUCUUCGUCGCUCACGCUGGGAGCUGCAGACAGGAGCUGUUCCUAUGUGGCCAUCUUGGCUCCUCCCUAUGAACUCUUUUUUACAGAGCAGCAAGACUGCAGCAGGACUGCAGCAGGGAAACUGAGGAGGAAAACCGCCUCACCCACCUGAUAGAAAUUGGACAUAAGAGGAAUUGAGAGGAGGCAUUUGCUUCCUGACCUACAGGAGAGCAAAGAGCAAGAACGCCUGAUGUUCCAGGGCCAAACUUUUAGCAAAUCAACUUCUAACAGCAUUUUGGAUAAUGACUUUACUGAGAAUCACAGUUAAAGGAGCUUGAAAUGUUAAAAAUAACAUCAGGACUCUCACAGUGCAAGUUUUGAUCACUAAUGAAACCAACAUUCCUGCUAUACAAGCUACGAAGGUGGCUGUCCUUUGAGCCUCUGCGUUUUCAAGAACAGACAGCCGUGGAAUGAAACAGCCAUGAGCCAUGGGAGAUGUCCUUGAAAUGCAUUCAUUCUGUGGGAGAAAGGACUUGGGCUGCUGCUGCUAAUGCCUACCCUUUUUCUGCGGCUUUGGCAUUUCAUAGGCAGGCCGCAGGUAAUUCUCCAGGAAUUUGGCCAUGGCCUCAUUUUGGUAUCAGCUAUUUUAAUUUUGUUGAACAAUAAAAUACUUUUAAAUCGUGUGUCUGUGGACUGUGGGAUUGGGAAAUAGGGAAACUGAAUGUUUACCGCAGGCAUCCUUACUUUUUGCUCUCUUUG